AAAUCAUGUGUUUUCACAUAGCUGAAAGGUAAAAAUUAGCAUUCAAAAUUCUUCUCCGUUCCUGAAGACACGUCCAAUAUUCACAAAGGUAAACUCUAGCUCAACAUCGCCCACACUCCAGGUGUCCUUAAUCCUAUUAAAUUCUAAAAAUGUUUCCCUAACCCUAUUUUUUACAAGAAUCUUACAGGUCAUAAGUUUAAAAGGGGGAGGGGGGAGAGGGUGAAGGCUUAAUCGGUAUUUAAGAGUCACUGACUCAUCGAAUUAAGAUUCAAGAGCAGUUUGCUGCAGGAGGUGCUCCCACACAUUAGUUUCCAAGUGAAACAGCUAUAAAGGAAGUAGGAUGGAUACUGAAGAUUUGUGCGACCUAAGAAUGAAGGUUGCCGCUGGUGCCACAUUAAAGAGAACAAUUCCCGAGGAAAAAAAGAAGUUGGGAGAACCUCGUUAACAAGGCAGCACUCCUCUUCUACCAUCCCUCUCCAGGAAUCGCAGGAUUGUUGUUCUGAGAAUGAGCGUGCACAGUAGUGCACUGUUAACAGUGUUUUGCACGUAGCAGGUGCUUAAUAAAUGUUUGACGAAUGAACAGAGGCGCUAAACCAGUCAAUGUACCCAAAAAACCAUCCCAUUGAUUUCUGAGGUCUCUUUAUGUAACUUGAUUCCUGCCUCAGCAGCAGCAUUGUCCUUACUCUUGAGAAAGAGAGGGGCAAUGUUGAUGAUGGUCUGUGCUAGACAUGACCUCUAAACCUGCCUUUUUGAACUUAUUCUUGCCAAGAACUUAUACAUGGGAGUGUUGAUACUGGCCUCUUCCCCUUCCAGGACUACUGUUAACCAGUUAGGCUGCUCAAGUUUCAGUCAAGUACCAUCAGUUAUAAUCUGUGUUCUUAUCCAAGUUACUGAAACUCUGGGCCUGCAUAAAAUGGGGAUAAUAGUACUUAACUU
rnacentral:lncRNA from 1 species